UGGGGAAUCUUGCGCAAUGGCCGAAAGGCUGACGCAGCGACGCCGCGUGUGGGAGGACGCCUUUCGGGGUGUAAACCACUGUUGCCCGGGACGAACACGGCUAUUCGUAGCCGCUGACGGUACCGGGUGAGGAAGCACCGGCUAACUCCGUGCCAGCAGCCGCGGUAAUACGGAGGGUGCGAGCGUUGUCCGGAAUCAUUGGGCGUAAAGGGCGCGUAGGUGGCCCGGUCAGCGUGCGGUGAAAGCUCGGGGCUCAACCCCGAGUCGGCCGUGCGAACUGCUGGGCUCGAGCACUGUAGAGGCAGGCGGAAUUCCGGGUGUAGCGGUGGAAUGCGUAGAGAUCCGGAAGAACACCGGUGGCGAAGGCGGCCUGCUGGGCAGUCGCUGACACUGAGGCGCGACAGCGUGGGGAGCAAAACA
rnacentral:rRNA from 1 species